ensembl:lncRNA
GAGUGAGACUCCGUCUCAAAAACCAAAAACAAAAAAAAACAGAGGGUUAAAUUUUGUAGGCCAGGUGCAUGCAGUGGCUCAUGCCUAUAAUGCUAGCACUUUGGGACGCCGAGGUGGGUGGAUCACUUGAGCUCAGGAGUUCAAGACCAACCUGGGCAACAUGUUGAAACCCCAUCUCUACAAAAAAUACAAAAAUUAGCCAGGUGUGGUGGAUUGUGCCUAUAGUCCCAGCUACUUGGGAGGCUGAGGUGGUAGGACUGCUUGAGCCCAGGAGACAGAGGUUGCAGUGAGCUGAGAUCACGCCAUUGCACUCCAACCCAGAUGACAGAGUGAGACCCUGUCUCAAAAAACAAACAAGGACCAGGCACAGUGGCUAAUGCUUGUAAUCCCAGCACUUUGAGAGGCCAGGUGGGGCAGAUCACGAGGUCAGGAGAUUGAGACCAUCCUGGCUGGUGAAACCCCAUCUCUACUAAAAACACAAAAAAAUAGUUGGGCAUGGUGGCUGGCACCACCUCUCGGGUUCAAGUGAUUCUCCUGCCUCAGCGUCCCAAGUAGCUGGGAUUACAGUCGCCUGCCACAACACUCGGCUAAUUUUUGUAUUCAUCUGAAGAAAUGAAAGAAGGGAGGCUUUAUUUAUGAACAAUCUCUGCAGUUUUCCAGCAUCCCUUUAUCUUUCCUUACUCUUAGCUGAUGACUUUGGCUAUUAUUUUACUGUGAAAAUAAAAGUAAAAGAAAACAUCCUGGGCCAGGUGUGGUGGCUCAUGCCUGCAAUCCCAGGACUUUGGGAGGCCAAGGUAGGCAGAUCACCAGUCUCAGUAGAACAGUAAGAAAUCCCAGGUAAGGCCAGGCAUGGUGGUUCAUGCCUGAAAUCCAAACAAUUUGGGUAAACUGAAGUGGGAGGAUUGCAGAGGCCAGGAGUUCAAGACCAGCUUGGCCAACAUAGCCAGACUCCCCAUCUCUACAUCAUACAAAAAUAAUAAAUAAAUCCUAGGUAGGGCCAGGCCUGGUGGCUCACACCUGUAAUCCCAGCACUUUGGGAGGCCAAGGUGGGUGGAUCGCCUGAGGUUGGGAGUUCGAGACCAGUCUGGUCAACACAGUGAAACCCCAUGCCUGGCCUUAUCUAGGAUUUUCAUUUAUUCAGUCAGGACAGCACCCAACAGAGCUGGCCGGUUACCUGGCAGCUUUAUCUAUUGUGUAUAUCCCAGAUACUUAGCAUGAUGUUUCUCUAAGUGUUGAAGAAUCCAUCGCAUCUUGGGAUCUAGCUGAGAGAGAAGGGUUAGGGUUGGGAAAAUAGCAGAAGAUACAGCUAGCAUUCACUGAAUGCUUCUUAAAGGUUGAGCACAGUAAUUCAGAGUUCCACCUGACUUUUCUCAUUGAAUCCAAACAACAGUCAGCUGGAUGCGGUGGCUCAUGCCUGUAAUCCCAGCACUUUGGGAGGCUGAGGCGAGUGGAUUACCUGAGGUCAGAGGUUCAAGACCAGCCUGGCAAAAAUGGUGAAACCCUAUCUCUACUAAAAACGCAAAAAUUAGCCAGGCGUGGUGGCAGGCGCCUGUAAUCCCAGCUACUCAGGAGGCUGAGGCAGGAGAAUCACUUGAACUCGAGGGGUAGAGGUUGCAGUGAGCCGAGAUCAACCCAUUGCACUCCAGGCUGGGCAACAAGAGUGAAACACCGUCUCAAAAAAAAAAAAAAAA